rnacentral:rRNA from 1 species
GACGAACGCUGGCGGCGUGCCUAAUACAUGCAAGUAGGACGCAGUUGCGAACGGGUGAGUAACGCGUAGGUAACUGCCUAUUAGAGGGGGCUAACUAUUGGAAACGAUAGCUAAUACCGCAUACUAGUAGAUGGACCUGCGUUGUAUUAGCUAGUAGGUAGGGUAAUGGCCUACCUAGGCGACGAUACAUAGCCGACCUGGAGGGGUGAUCGGCCCCACCGGGAAUGGGGCACGGCCCAGACUCCUAAGGGAGGGAGGAGUAGGGAAUCUUCGGCAAUGGGGGGAACCCUGAACGAGCAAAGCCGGGGGGGUGGAGAAGGGUUUCGGGGCGUAAAGCUAGUUUGUUAAGGGAGCGGUACGGAAAGAGAAAGGGACGGCUAACUCCGUGCCAGCAGCCGCGGUAAUAC